rnacentral:rRNA from 1 species
AGCCUGUGCGCGUGCCUAACACAUGCAAGUCGAACGCGAAAGUUUCUUCGGAAAUGAGUAGAGUGGCGCACGGGUGAGUAACGCGUGGAUUAUCUACCUACUGGUACGGGACAACAGUUGGAAACGACUGCUAAUACCGUAUACGCUGGUAACGGGAAAGGGGGCCUCUUCUUGAAAGCUCUCGCCAGUAGAUGAGUCCGCGUUUCAUUAGCUAGACGGUGGGGUAACGGCCUACCGUGGCAACGAUGAAUAGCAGGCCUGAGAGGGUGGCCUGCCACACUGGGACUGGAACACGGCCCAGACUCCUACGGGAGGCAGCAGUGGGGAAUAUUGCGCAAUGGACGAAAGUCUGAUGCAGCGACGCCGCGUGGAGGAUGAAGGUUUUCGGAUCGUAAACUCCUGUCAAGAGGGAAGAAACCUAUCAUGAAUAAUACUCAUGGUAACUGACGGUACCUCUAGAGGAAGCACCGGCUAAUUCAGUGCCAGCAGCCGCGGUAAUACUGAAGGUGCAAGCGUUAAUCGGAAUCACUGGGCGUAAAGCGCUCGUAGGUGGCUUUGUAAGUCAGGUGUGAAAGCCCACGGCUCAACCGUGGAAUUGCACUUGAUACUGCAUCGCUAGAGUAUAGGAGAGGGAAGUGGAAUUUCUGGUGUAGGAGUGAAAUCCGUAGAGAUCAGAUGAACACCCGUGGCGAAGGCGACUUCCUGGACUAUUACUGACACUGAGGAGCGAAAGCGUGGGGAGCAAACAGGAUUAGAUACCCUGGUAGUCCACGCCGUAACGAUGGGUACUAGGUGUUGGGGGCUUGACCCUCGGUGCCGUAGUUAACGCGUUAAGUACCCCGCCUGGGGAGUACGGUCGCAAGGCUGAAACUCAA